GACGAACGCUGGCGGCGUGCUUAACACAUGCAAGUCGAACGAAGUGGCGCACGGGUGAGUAACGCGUAAUCAACCUUCCCUUCAGAGGGGGACAACAGUUGGAACCGACUGCUAAUCCCGCAUACUGAAGGAUGGGAUUGCGACGUAUUAUCUAGUGGGUGGGUUAACGGCCCACCAAGGCGAUGAUCAGAGGCCCGUCUGAGAGAAUGAACGGCCAAAUGUGGAACAGGACACGGCCCAGACCCCAACGGGGGGCAGCCGUGGGGAAUCUUCCGAAAUGGAGGAAAGUCUGACGGAGCAACGCCGCGUGAGUGAUGACGGCCUUCAGGUUGUAAAGCUCUGUUAAUCGGGACGCGGUACCGGAAUAGAAAGCCACGGCUAACUACGUGCCAGCAGCCGCGGUAAUUC
rnacentral:rRNA from 1 species